UUUUUUCCAUGUGCAAAUGUGUAAAUGUGUAAAUCUAAAUUUUAAAAAGAAGUGACCUCUUUUAUCUCUUUAUGUACCAAUGCAUUCAUUCAAAUAAUGUGCCAUAUAUUUGCUCACUCUUUUGUCUCUACCUCCUUGGCUUGAUUUAACUCUAGAAGAGUAUGCAGAAACAGUUCAUCUUGCCCUCAGAAAAAUGAUUGACUUGGAAAGAAAUUUUCUGAUUUUUCAAUUUCUUUGGUAACAUUUCAAAUAUUUUUGUUUCUACUCAGUUGUAAAAUAAAGAUACCCAUGUUCAAUCCCAGACAUGUAUUCUUACAUUAUUACUUUUAGUUAAGCAAGUGUGAGAUUUUCCUGAAAUCAGUAUAUAAACAGAUAUAGACUCUUUUUAAAUUUUGUUUAUUUUUAUUUUUACAUUUUGUAAAUGAAUGUAUUACUUUUUUAAUUGAAUUUAUUGGGGUGAUAUUGGUUAAUAAAAUUUUAUAGGUUUUAGGGGUAUAAUUCUGUAAUACAUCAUCUUGUAUAUUGUGUGUUUACAGAUAAUAGGCUUUUUAAAACACUUGCACUCAUUGAAGAAAAGAUGCUUGAGUUUUGAAACAGAAGAAAAAUAUUUCUCAACAGUUCAUUGGAUGAUUUUUUAGUUGUUGGUUUUGGGCUUUUUUUCCUCUUUACUAAACUGAUAAAAAAGGUAAAACAUUUUAAAAAACAAUAAAAUGCUUAUCACAGAUAUUCAUCACAGAAAAGUUUGUUAAGAUUUCAUAUAAAAUUUAAAAAGAAAUAGAAAAGUUUUUUUUCCAUUAUUAUUUUUGGGCAUUUCUCAAUGGUAGAUGUCAUUAUAUCUCAGACCAAGUCCACUUAGCAUUGUACACUGUAUUUGAGUUAUUUCAACAAAUCUAUUAUGCAUAUCUUGAUUUCAGAAGGUAGGUCCAUGUCCUAACCAUUUAGUUAAGUGGAAAUAAUUCUGUUCAUUACAAAUACUACGUGAGACAUCCUGUAUGUUACCUGUUCUUUAAGAAAUAUAAUUUAAUAGAAAGCCAUAGUCUUUUUGUGUCAUGGGUUUGAAUUUAACUCCUGUUUCUACUAUUUAUACUUUCAGCUUGUGCAAGCUUCCUUAUCUUUUAAAUUGAAAUACUUGCUUCUGUAUUGUCAUGAAAUUUAAAUGAGAUUACACACAAACACAUUUACACUAGGUGCAGUGCUUGGCAAAUAUUGGGUAUUUGAUAUAUGAGAGUAAUUGUAGUUUGUUGCUGCUGUUUCUAAUCAUUAUUGUUGUUACACCUUAUUAUUUUUGCAAAGAUGGAGAAAUUGUAAUUGAUUGUUGUUAGGUCAGGUCAGUGGUUCUCAAUUUUUAGCUUACAUCAGAAUUACCUGGAAACCUUUAUACAAAUUAGUUGGCCACGCCUCCAUUGUUUCUGAUUAAAUAAGUCUGUGAUGGGACCCAAGAAUUUGGAUUUCUAACAUUCCCAGGUAAUGCCAGGGAUGAUACUGGUCCUAGUUGGGGGCCAUACUUCAAGAAACUCUAAGUUAAUUGAUUCUACAAGAGAGAAAAAAUAUUGUUAGAGGAAGAAAAACACUAUUUGGAAAUAACUGAAGUUUUUUCCAUUCAUUUGAAGUAUUUUGCUCGGUAUCAUGGCAAAUUCUUCCAAAUUUAGUAUAUGCAAAAAGGGAUGGAUGUUUAAAGAGGAGAGAGACAUAAUUUUAGAUAAAUUUUAGUUUAAUAUAUGCAAAGAUACCAACUUCUACAGACAAAAAAUCCGUUUUUUAAAAUAGAACUAAGUUCUCCCCAUAAAGUCAAAUAUUCAGAAACCAACCUACACAUUAAUAGGGCCCCUUUAUUCUCUCUCAGAAGAAAUUCCCUAGUCAGGUAAAUGUCAUUUUAAAGAAUGUGUGUGUGC